CCUACGGGAGGCAGCAGUGGGGAAUAUUGGACAAUGGGGGGAACCCUGAUCCAGCCAUGCCGCGUGUGUGAAGAAGGCCCUCGGGUUGUAAAGCACUUUCAGUGAGGAAGAACGCCUGGUGGUUAAUACCCAUCAGGAAAGACAUCACUCACAGAAGAAGCACCGGCUAACUCCGUGCCAGCAGCCGCGGUAAUACGGAGGGUGCGAGCGUUAAUCGGAAUUACUGGGCGUAAAGCGCGCGUAGGUGGCUUGAUAAGCCGGUUGUGAAAGCCCCGGGCUCAACCUGGGAACGGCAUCCGGAACUGUCAAGCUAGAGUGCAGGAGAGGAAGGUAGAAUUCCCGGUGUAGCGGUGAAAUGCGUAGAGAUCGGGAGGAAUACCAGUGGCGAAGGCGGCCUUCUGGACUGACACUGACACUGAGGUGCGAAAGCGUGGGUAGCAAACAGGAUUAGAUAUCCCAGUAGUC
rnacentral:rRNA from 1 species